AUUGAACGCUGGCGGCAGGCCUAACACAUGCAAGUCGAGCGGAUGAAGGGAGCUUGCUCCCGGAUUCAGCGGCGGACGGGUGAGUAAUGCCUAGGAAUCUGCCUGGUAGUGGGGGAUAACGUCCGGAAACGGGCGCUAAUACCGCAUACGUCCUGAGGGAGAAAGUGGGGGAUCUUCGGACCUCACGCUAUCAGAUGAGCCUAGGUCGGAUUAGCUAGUUGGUGGGGUAAAGGCCUACCAAGGCGACGAUCCGUAACUGGUCUGAGAGGAUGAUCAGUCACACUGGAACUGAGACACGGUCCAGACUCCUACGGGAGGCAGCAGUGGGGAAUAUUGGACAAUGGGCGAAAGCCUGAUCCAGCCAUGCCGCGUGUGUGAAGAAGGUCUUUGGAUUGUAAAGCACUUUAAGUUGGGAGGAAGGGCAGUAAGUUAAUACCUUGCUGUUUUGACGUUACCAACAGAAUAAGCACCGGCUAACUUCGUG
rnacentral:rRNA from 1 species